CAGUACUGUCUCUACACACACCUGAUCAGCCCCUAGCCAGUACUGUCUCUAGACACACCUGAUUAGCCCCUAGCCAGUACUUUCUCUACACACACCUGAUCAGCCCCUAGCCAGUACUGUCUCUAGACACACCUGAUUAGCCCCUAGCCAGUACUUUCUCUACACACACCUGAUCAGCCCCUAGCCAGUACUGUCUCUACACACACCUGAUCAGCCCCUAGCCAGUACUUUCUCUACACACACCUGAUCAGCUCCUAGCCAGUACUGUCUCUAGACACCCGUGUAGAUCUGAAAGGAGCCGAUUUUAAGCAGUAUUCAUGUUUUUCUGCCUUGCUGUUCGGGGGAUUUUUACCAUAUUGCUAAGACCUAUCCAUUCAUUUCAGAUCUAGAGGUAUGUCUUGGGCGUAGGAGUUGAUUUGGGAUUCAGCACUAGUGUAGAUGUUUUUGUUCAGAAGUUUUCCGCGAAGCCAUUUUGUUUGUCUGUUCAGAAUUCAGAUUGUGUUUAACGUAAAUGCUUUGGGUUGCUGUUUGGCAGUAUGUACCUGUUCCUUUCAUUUCAACACUUCAAAUAAAGCCUUAAGUCUGGACAUUUCACCCUAACACUCCUGUUGACUUGAGUUGGGGAGUCUCAUGGUCUGCAGGGGGACUGACUGCUGCUAUGGGUUCGGUUAGAGGAAUCUUCUCAAUCACUGUGAAAAGAUGUUUUGGGGUAAUACUGGUCAAAAAGGUACUUCACCUAAUGCAAUCUCAAUGAGUCUUCACAUGUAGAUGAGAGAUUUUUGAGCCAUCUCACCACCAUUUGCAGAUUCUGUCUGUAUCCCUUUUGUCUGGGGGUAAAGGGGGGAUUCCCCCCAACAGACCCCUUCCCUGCUCCCCAUCUUGUUUCACUCCAAAGAACUCUGCAAGUGUCACCAAGACUAGGUUUUGGAAGAAACACUGCAUGCAAACAACUUUUCAUAAAGGACAUUUGAGUGCAGAGAGAAGAAGCCAGAGGAAUGACUGGGUUGGAAGUCUUCUGCUAAUGUUCUCAGCUGUAAAAGAAUAAUAAUAAUCAACAUGGAAACACUACACUGCCCAAGGAGUGUCCUUUUGGAAGAAGGAGCUAUAAGUGAAGGAUAUGUGCUGUCCUUUUGGAAGGAGGAGGUAUAAGUGAAGGAUAUGUGCUGUCCUUUUGGAAGGAGGAGGUAUAAGUGAAGGAUAUGUGCGUAGCAACUUGUGAUUAAUGUUUUGACUGACGGUGUAUUGCUGUGAGGUGAUGGCUGUAUUGCGGUCGUGGUUGGGUUUUCGUGUGACGAAUAAAAGAUUCUAGUGUUUUCUCGUCAUAACUUACUAAGGGGCCUAUGUUUUGACACAACGAGUCCUUUAACUUAACAUCUAGUUUUUUCUGCUUGUCUUUUUAAAGAACGAAAAACUGCUUUAGUCCCAUUUAUUGUUUUGAUACUGACAUUUUUACAAUGUUCUUUUCCAGUAAAUGUUGAUAGAUUUACACUCUAAUGCUGGUUUGUCAGAACCAUAUGUAAUGUAUCUAUAUAUCCUCUAUACAUAAUAUAAAACAUUGAUUUAAGGGCUAUUCUAGCCUACUUGAGUUUAACACUGGAGUCACAGUAUGCAAAUCUAAUGCAUAAAACAACUAGUGGGUACAGAGGUUUCUUAGUGUUAAACUGACAGAGAAAAAGCCUUAAAUGUGCCGUGCUACAGAUUGUCAUUCAUGUUGGCUGUGUUGCUUUCAGGCAACACGGUGGAUGUUUUAAUGCUUAAUGGAAUAAAGAAUGCAUGGAAUUACA